rnacentral:rRNA from 1 species
CCUACGGGGGGCAGCAGUGGGGAAUAUUGCACAAUGGGCGCAAGCCUGAUGCAGCCAUGCCGCGUGUGUGAAGAAGGCCUUCGGGUUGUAAAGCACUUUCAGCGGGGAGGAAGGCGGUGAGGUUAAUAACCUCAUCGAUUGACGUUACCCGCAGAAGAAGCACCGGCUAACUCCGUGCCAGCAGCCGCGGUAAUACGGAGGGUGCAAGCGUUAAUCGGAAUUACUGGGCGUAAAGCGCACGCAGGCGGUCUGUCAAGUCGGAUGUGAAAUCCCCGGGCUCAACCUGGGAACUGCAUUCGAAACUGGCAGGCUAGAGUCUUGUAGAGGGGGGUAGAAUUCCAGGGGUAGCGGUGAAAUGCGUAGAGAUCUGGAGGAAUACCGGUGGCGAAGGCGGCCCCCUGGACAAAGACUGACGCUCAGGUGCGAAAGCGUGGGGAGCAAACAGGAUUAGAUACCCCUGUAGUC